GAUGAACGCUGGCGGCGUGCCUAAUACAUGCAAGUCGAGCGAACAGACGAGGAGCUUGCUCCUCUGACGUUAGCGGCGGACGGGUGAGUAACACGUGGAUAACCUACCUAUAAGACUGGGAUAACUUCGGGAAACCGGAGCUAAUACCGGAUAAUAUAUUGAACCGCAUGGUUCAAUAGUGAAAGACGGUUUUGCUGUCACUUAUAGAUGGAUCCGCGCCGCAUUAGCUAGUUGGUAAGGUAACGGCUUACCAAGGCAACGAUGCGUAGCCGACCUGAGAGGGUGAUCGGCCACACUGGAACUGAGACACGGUCCAGACUCCUACGGGAGGCAGCAGUAGGGAAUCUUCCGCAAAGGGCGAAAGCUUGACGGAGCAACGCCGCGUGAGUGAUGAAGGUCUUCGGAUCGUAAAACUCUGUUAUUAGGGAAGAACAAAUGUGUAAGUAACAAUGCACGUCUUGACGGUACCUAAUCAGAAAGCCACGGCUAACUACGUG
rnacentral:rRNA from 1 species